UACGUAGGGUGCGAGCGUUAUUCGGAAUUACUGGGCGUAAAGCGUGCGCAGGCGGCCCGUUAAGACAGGUGUGAAAUCACUGGGCUCAACCUAGGAAUUGCGCUUGUGACUGGCGGGCUCGAGUACGGUAGAGGGGGGUGGAAUUCCUGGUGUAGCAGUGAAAUGCGUAGAGAUCAGGAGGAACACCGAUGGCGAAGGCAGCCCCCUGGGCCUGUACUGACGCUCAUGCACGAAAGCGUGGGGAGCAAACAGG
rnacentral:rRNA from 1 species